UAAUAUUCAAGAUUUAAGAUUAUAAAAUAAAUCAGAUCAAGGUGUAGUUUAUAAAUAAGAAGAGAUGAGUUACAAUAAAAUUAUUUAUAUGAAUAAUAAUUUUAAAAGUUAUUUGAAAGUGGAUUUGAAAGUAAUUUAAAUUAAUUUAUUUAUAUGAUUUUAGCUCUAAAAUAUGUACAUAUCGCCCGUCAUUUUCACUAUAAAGUGAAACAAGUCGUAACAUAGUAGGCGUACCGGAAGGUGUGCCUAGAACGACAAAUUAGAGCUUGUUUUAAAGCAUUUUAUUUACAUUAAAAAGUUUAUUGUGAGAUUCAAUAUAAUUUGAUUAAUUUAUAUUAUUAAUUAAAUAAAUUUUUAAAUUAUUUAAUUAAAAUAAUAUUUUUUUUAUUAUUAAAAUGAAAAAAUUUUUUUUAUUAUAGUAAAUUAGUAUUGUAAAAGAAUUAUUUAAAAAAUUUAAUAGAAUAUUUUAUUUUUAGUACCUUGUGCAUCAGGGAUUAUUAAAUAAAAAUUAUUUAAAUAAUUUUUUCGAAUUUAAAAGAGUUAUAAAUUUAUAUUUUUUAUUGUUUUAUAAAUAUUAAUAAUAAAUUUAUGGUAAUGAAAUGUUAUUCGUUUUUAAAUUUAUCUAAUUUUUUAAGAAAAAAAUUUAAUUUUUUUAAUAUUAAUAUUAACAUUUUUCAGUAAUUAAAAUAUUAUUAUUAUUAAAUAUUUUAAGGGAUGAGCUUUAAAAUAAAAUUAUAUAAAUAAAAAAAAGUUUUAAAUAAAUAAGAUUAAAAAUUUCUAUUUUUAAAAGUUAUUUAUAUUUUUUUUAAUAUUAAAUAAAAUUUUUAUAUAUUUUAUAUUUUUUAUUAAAAUUAUUAUUUAAAUUAUAAAAAUAAUUAAAUUAUGAUAAUAUUAGUAUAAAUUUUUGUAAAUUUAUUUAAUUUUUUAGGUUAAUUAAAGGAAUUCGGCAAAAUUAUUUUUCACCUGUUUAUAAAAACAUGUCCUUUUGAAUAUAAUUUUAGGUUUAACCUGCCCAAUGAAAAAUUUUAAAUGGCCGCAGUAUUUUAACUGUGCAAAGGUAGCAUAAUAAUUAGUUUUUUAAUUGAAAGCUUGAAUGAAAGGUUGAAUGAGAAAAUAACUGUCUCUAGUUGAUUUUUUUAUAAAUUUAUUUUUAAGUUAAAAAGCUUAAAUAUUUUUUGAAGACGAGAAGACCCUAUAGAGUUUUAUAAUUUUUUAUAAUAAAUUAAUUUAGAAUUAAUAUUUUUUUAUAAAAAAAAUUAUUUAAUUGGGGUGAUUAAAAAAUUAGAUUAACUUUUUUUAUAAAAUUACAUUAAUUUAUGAAUAAUUGAUCCUUUUUAAGAUUAAAAGAUUAAAUUACCUUAGGGAUAACAGCGUAAUUUUUUUUUAGAGUUCAAAUUAAAAAAAAAGGUUGCGACCUCGAUGUUGGAUUAAAAUUUAUAAUUGGUGUAAAAGCUAAUAUUAUUGAGUCUGUUCGACUUUUAAAAUUUUACUUGAUCUGAGUUCAAACCGGUGUGAGCCAGGUUGGUUUCUAUCUCAAAAAUAAAAAUUUAUUUUAGUACGAAAGGACCAAAUAAAUAAUUAAAAAUUUAAAUUUUUGAAUAUUAUUAAUUAUUUUGGCAGAAUAGUGCAUUAGAUUUAGAAUCUAAAAAUGUAAAUUUUACAAAUAAUACUUGAUGUUAAAAGAUUUAUUGAUAAUUUUGGUUUCUAGAUUAAUUUUAGCUUUUAGAGUAAUAAUUGGGGUUGCUUUUUUAACUUUAAUAGAACGAAAAGUUUUAGGAUAUAUUCAAAUUC
rnacentral:rRNA from 1 species